UUCAGAUAACAGUGAGCUGAUAUGAAGGAGAGGAUACCAUAUACUUCACAAAGCUUAAUAGAGCUACAGAGGAGUACGACAUUACAGAGGUGCGGGAUGGCGGUGCGACGGUGGUAGAGCGGCGGAGGGCGGCCGGGCGGGCUCGCGCGCC